UAACUUUUCUGUUUUGUUUUUAAAUCAGACUCUUGAAUUUUGGAGGAGAGACUUUUUUUUAAAGUAUUACUUAAAGGGUCUAUGUGACUGUUUUUAAUACACUUUAUAUUGAAUUGAACAUGUUAACCUUCAUUUUAUAGCAACAUUUUGUCAACUUACCUAGUGCCAUGGUGGACUGUAUAAGCAUGUAGAAACAAGUCCUAUAGACAUCGUUUACAUCUGCAUUGAAUCAUUAACUUUCUCUCCCUUCUUUCUACUCUUGAGGACAGAAUUGCCAAUACUAACUGAUAUCACACCUAGCCUGUUUAGGUCUUACCUCCUUCUUCAAUGCAUGGGCCUUCAUUAAUGGAGGCACCAGUGGGCAAUGAACUGGACGGCUGGGCCUCCUCCAUGUAUGGAGUGCAAGUGGCCCAGGAAGUGGAAGGAUUGUGGCAACUCUGAAAUCCUGAAUCUGUGGUGCUAAAAUUAGCCAGGGUCAAUCCCUGUGCAAUAAGGGGUUCAGUAGCCGAUGGCUGGAUCGUGUAGCUCUUAUUUCAGGGAAGCAUUCCUGUACUCGAUUCUUUUGUUUCCGUAACAUGAUUUGUACGUGGAUAAAAGUUUCUCUAGGCUGGAAGGGGAAAUUUCACAGAUAACCCAGGCAUAAACCAGCCAGGCAGCAGAGUUGACUAUGCCAUACUUAAUUGACACUGGAGGGGGACCUCAAGUUACGUGCCUUUUCACUAAAGUUUUGUAUUAGCUGUUUGCUUGGAAGGGCAGAUGUUUUGGCUCUGAUGGUCACUGCUCACCUCUGUCUGGGAGGUGCAUCAAUCACUUUAAUUAUAAUGGAACAUGGGGCCAGGAACUGAAGGAGAAAAAUCAACUCAAUCCCAAGAACGAUCUUUCUUGAUGAAUUCUCCCCUAAAUCGAAACAAUUCACCGGGUAUCCCAGCUGGGGUUCAUAUGCUUUUGAUUACUGUGGGCUAUUUAGCUCUACAAAAUGACAGGCUGCUUAAUGGGCUUUUAAUGGUUAUAGGUUUCUCUCUCUCUUUUUUAAUGAGCUUCACCAGUUUGUUGCUAAUGCCCUGUAGAAAUUUGGCGAGGGUCCAGACUCAAUGCUACACAUUUCUGGUUUCGAGGCAGCAGACGUACAACCUUUCUUGCCAGUGGGGAAGUAUGCUACCAGCCUUAAGGUAGGGCCAUCAGGGCAGGGAGAAUAGGAAUGGUAAUAAAUGCCUUGUAUGCCUAAUGUCAUCGUAGAGAAGGUGGUUCCACACUGCAGCGAGUUUCCCUUGAAGGCUUCUUGCAGAUGGCUGGACUGGCAAUGUCGGCAACGCUUUGCCUUCUAAUGUAAUUUCUACACUGUUGGUAAAAGUGACCCUGGUAGGCUCAGUUGUAUCCUGCUCACCAAUGGGUUUCUUGGUCAACAGGGUUUAUUGUCUCCCGUUUCACCAGUUUAUUUCAUCAUGUUUGUAUCCUCAGUGCCUCGUGCGAGGCUGAGGCCACAGUAGGUAUUCGGUUCAGGUCUGCAAAAUUAGAAGUCACAGGGAAAUGGGAGGAGUUGGCAAGGUUUUACCCAAAGGGACUUACUUUCUGGGUCUCAAAAAGAUCUGGGUUAGAGAGGACUGGACAGUGUAUGAGACUAGGAAGAGAAGGGGCAUCUGGGUCGCUACUAAUAGCAAUCACAUUUAUUCCUCUUCUGCCCCUAGUGCUGUGCUUAAAACACUUUGGGUACUGUUUUCACUUAGUCACCAAAGCUAGGAGGCAGGUGACGGUUUACCGGUGAUGAUCAGUACUGUUUGGGUAAGCAGUUGAGGAAGUGCCUAGGCGUGAGGCAUUUGUUGACUUCUGUGGUAAGAACACCAAGCCCAGGCUAUUUCAUACUAGCAAUAUGAUAUAAACCAAAGAGCGAAACAAUAGAAAAGUUAACUGACAUUUGUGUAGCUCUGUGGAUAUAUCGGCACGGGUGUCAUUAACUGAAGUUCCUGAGAGAAGCUGCGAGCCUACAGAAUUGUCUACAAACCUGACAAAUGACAGCUUUGAUGACUGUGGAGAUGUUGGGAUGCUGCACAGUCACAAUAUCUUAGAUUAUCUUAGGUCCUUAAAUAGCCAUUCAUUGCCCACUUUGGUGUGUGACCAUUGCGGCUAUCAGGUGAAUCCUUUCGGAAUGUAUGAAAAGUCCCCUAGCCGCCACCAACCAAAAGCUAAGAAUGUCAUAAAACAGCAUCUGGGGCUACAGCAGAGGUUUCCUCAGUACGCUCUAAGCCAAUGGCCAUGCUUGUUCACAUGUGACUGCAGGACAAACUAUCUCCUAUGCCCUUUGAAGAGAGAGCGUUUCCUACGCGGAUAGGAGGCAUAAAUUCCCAACUUACAGUUGCACCAGAAAAACUGUCAUAAAGAUAUAACAGUUACUUAGGUUCGUAGAAGGAGCUGAAAACAGACUCCAGGGUCAGAGUGAUUAAGCACUGGGUUCUGCACCACACCACUUCCCUAAACCAGGUGUACACUACGGAAGUGACGACAGAGCAAGGAAAGAGGAAAGGUGGCUCUCCUCACACACUGGCAACCCUGUCUGACUUCCCUCUGAGGUGACAGGUACACCUUUUGCUUUGUUUUUCCUUUUCCCAGUAAUCUCUAUUUAGUUUCUUUUUACAUUGCUUGGAAGUUUCCUACCCUUAUAUAAUGAUUCUAGUGUUGUCCUCCCUUUUUUUUUUUCCAUGCCCCCUUCUCUCAUUGACACACCUCUUCCCAACAGAUCCCAGUCCUACUUUCUUGUCUUUAUAUUUGGUCUACUGAGUUUGUAGUUUCUUGCCCAAGCAUGGGUGGGAGGUUAUUUACUGGAGAAAGGUCAACUAAUCAGUGGCUACCCCAUUGGAAAAAAAAUGAUACUCUCCCUGCCCACUGUGAAUGGUUCCUAGAUGCCAAGAGCUGGCUUUGAAGAGGCAACAAACAGCUUUCUCAACAUGAUGAUCUGAAGACAAAUAUGAGUGACCAUGGCCCCAGCACAGGAUUUGGGUUCCCUAAAUUCCAUGCUCCAAUGUGGUAGCAGUUUCAUGAAGGUUGUAUACUAACAGAACAAAAUAGUCACAAUUAUACAUCUAUAUCUAUCUAUCUAUCUAUCUAUCUAUCUAUCUAUCUAUCUAUCUAUCUAUCUAUUCCAUAAUCAUUAAGACUCAUCAAUUAAUUGGCAUCUAUCUAUAGAAUGUUCAAUGUAAGUUACUGCUUCUCUGGGAACUUUAGUUCAGUUUCUAGAAUACCUCUUCUUCACUCACCUCUCACUCUGGAAGUUUGAUUUAAUUCUUAGAAAUAAGCUGUGGCCUCUGGUCCUGUUAUGAGAUAGUUAUUGCAAUUCCAUCUCCUUCUUUUACAGGCAAACAACCUAGGGACAAGAGAGACUAAACAAUUUCCCCAAAUCUUGUCAGUGUCAGAGCCGAGAACACUGUGGGGUCUUCAGAUGCACUGGCUAAAGCUCCUCCCUCUAAACUGUAGCCUCCUCCACUUCUUAAGAGUAAUAAAUGGUACUCAGUGUUUUCUUUUGUUGAAGUAGGCGGAGGUUGGCUUUUCCUGUCCUGAUGCUGAUGUCCUUACUGACGGCCUCCUCCCAGCUUUAAAGACAGAGCUUGACUUCCCUGGAUUCAGGGGUAAUGAGCCGAGAAGUCAAGGACAGGCUCUGGGCUUUGGGAAGCGAACGGUGCACACAUGAAAGACAUUCUUCAGAAGUUUUAGUGGGUGAGGAGGAGGUAGGUCAGAGAAGGUGGGAUCUCCUUGAAGAAAUACUCUCAUGUUCCCAAGUCCGAAGAUCCUACUAAAUCAGACCCAGGUCACAUGGUGUCUAUACUUGUCUCCUGGCCCAGGGUGAAAACAGUUCACGUUGUAAAAUUAACUUUCCACAUUUGGCCAGCCCACACGUGCCAACUUUCUUUCAAAGUGAGUUUGUGAGUGAAUGAAUGAAUGAGCGUGUUGACUGGGUUACUGUUCUUAGGGGAGCCUUCUUUGCCUUGGACUUGGAGAACGAUUAAAGUUGGUUUUGAAAAGCGCUGCUGCUCUCCCAAACACAGCAGGCUGAUAGGAUUCUGGUUGCACUUUUAUUUGCUAUGGAGCACAAUGUUGUCAUUUCAUGGAAGAAAUAGCCUAGCAGAUGGUGUUUGGUGGAUGGCUUGGAUGUAGCUUUGUAAAUAAGCUACUCAAAAUAGACUAGCUUCCCCAAAACUUACCAUCUGCCCCUUACCCCAUGAGGUCUACAGGUGAUAAAAGAAAGAAAAGAAUUUCAUACUUUCAGUUGUUCCUGUGUUCCCAAUUUCUGAAAAGCUCCCCACUUAAGGCUUCCUUAAAUUUGGCUCUGAUAAUAGGAGAGAGAGAUUGUCUCUAAUAUAAUAGGUAUGUCAGGGUAGUCUGAUUUAACAAUAAUCACCUAAACUGGGCAUUGUGGUUAGGACUAUAGUCCCAACUGUUUGGGAGGCAGAGGCGUGACUAUCAUUUGAGUCCAGGAGUUUGAGACCAACUUGUGCAACUAAAUAUGAAACUUUCUCAAAACAAAACACACAUAGAUAUAGACAGACAUGCAUGUCUAACUGACACCCCCUCCCCAUUAUUUCAAGUUAGUCUUUGAUAUGAUUCGGCUUCUGCAGCCUCCAUGCACGGCAAUUUCUUGUAACUUCUCCUGGCUGAAGGGAAGAUCUCCCUAUAAGUGUUUCCCAUUUCUGAGGACCAGGUUAAUUUAUUAUGCAGUGGCUCUAGAAGCUCAUACAUACAUCGGGGCUUGAACCAUUUUUUCAGUUCCAAAAUGAGAGGGUUAUUUUGCUUCUCUCAAUCUUAGUUGUUUCUUUAUUAGAGGAAUGAGGCUGGCAUAACAUUCAAAACGUUCUUUGUUACCACUCCUGUCAUUGUCAUCAGUACCAUGCUCGACUGUAGCAUACUGCCAACGGGAGACGUGACGGGACAGAGCACAUAGUCAAUGGGAGCCGUGAUGGGUGGAGAUGAUUUACUUCAGCUGCGAUGUGAAAGGUGUUCAGACUCAUCAAGUUGAUCACUCCCACACCUUGUGUUUUCUUUUUCUUGAAGUGUUUUCCUAAACGGGAUUUCCGUGGGCUACCCACCAAAACAUGAGCUGGAGGGUGGCGGACAGUGCGAGGUUCUUCUUGGACCUUGAUUAUUGAGGCAUGGGAGAUGGAUGCUAAAGUUUUUCUCAGAUUUUAAAUGGUGGACGAUUCUAUGGGAAUGGUUUAGGAACUGGAAUUAGGAAUCUGAUGUCAGGAUCUUCUAAAGGUCUAUUUCCAACAUGGGUCUUGGACCUUUUUGAAUUUAAGUUAGAGAAUGGGUUUACAUAGACCUGGAGAAAGGAUUUCAAAGGGCCAUGUAGAACACUCUACCUCUUAAAAUGUCUGUUUCCAUUAAUUAGGAGGCUGGGUGUGAAACCUUCAGCCUAUGUCUUUGUACAGUCACUCGCUGGGGUGCGACUGUCUCUAUUUUCUGUGACCGUGAUUCAUGAAGAGAAGAUUGCUUUCGAAGGGAAUAUAACUUAUCUUUGCUUCAGAUGCAACUUAAAUAUCAGGUAUUUAUAAAUCUAAUAUUUAUCUUAUGCUCCUCUACUCUUUUGCAAGGUAAGCUGGUUUUAUUCCAGAAACAAUGUCUCCUGUUCCUUUUGUAACUAUAAGUUAGCCAAUUAUAUUAAGAAUUGUUACGUGAGACUUCUAGAAGUGGUCCCAGAGAAGGAACCUUGUUCUAUCCUUAUAAAGAAUCUUUCUGCUUCUAUUCUAUUCUUCCUGACUUCCCCUCCCCUAGACAUGGUGAAUGUAGAACCCUCUGCCUUUGCUUGAUCACACCUCAGACCACAGUGUAACCCUGAAGAUAGAGAGCAUGUGCUGACGAUAAUGUACCAUAAAGACGGAGGAAGCAUGGCUCUAUGGUAUUGCCGCAGAAUCCUGGGCUCCUUCACUCUGGACUUCAUCACAGAUGCAUGGAGCCACUGUUUUCUCCAGUUUCUACUCACAGCACACAAAGGCAGACUCUUAACUGCUACAGACGCCUUCCACCCAGUGAGUACCGCCCUUGUGUCUUUGCAGCUAGAGUCUGGAAACCCUGUCUGUUGGUCCGCGCUGCUUCACAAGCCCCUACAAGAGUGAAAUUGGACUUAGCCUCUGCUAAAGAGCAGCGGAAUUGCUGGUGAAUACAAUGCUGGGAUUAUAAGGUGCUGGCAGCCAUACCAGAAUAAUAAGGUCAGAUGGAAAGCCAUCCAGUGAGUCCUUCAGUGAAUAUCCCGCCCGCGAUAGUGGCCUCCGAGCACUGCAGCCCAGAUCCACAGUUCAGGAACUGCAGGACUCCCCCCCCCUUACUUUUUUUUUUUUGGCAAAAUGAUGAGGGGCUUCAUUAUUGGUUCAGUUUUUGCUCUGUGUAGCUAUUCAGUAGGAGUCCAUGUUCAUUCCGGUUUGUAACGAAAGCGCUCAUUCAUUGGAGUUUACCCCAGCAGUUUCAUCCGUAAUAUCCAAGAUGGUGGCCACAAUCUGCUUUGCUAAUCUCAAGUACCUUUGAUGAAAGGUUCACGAGACGCACACCACAUUCUUGGCUCACUCUGCCUGUAUUCUAGGAGCGUUAACCCAUCUGUGUGGUGCAUGGAAUUGUCUGAAUGUUUGAUAAAAAUGUGAGACUAAAACUACAGGAGAUGGUUUCAGAAAUAAUCUCAUUAACCUGCUGUGUCUUCAGUAUCUUUCCGAGAUAAUUUUGUACAUGUUGGGGAGUGAAAUAAGUAACCUAAACCUGAGGCAGUGGGCCAAGGGAAGCUGGGUAGUGGCUGUUAAUCUGCUUAUGGGUAGGUCUGUGGGUGCAGCCUUGGAAAGGUUCAUCUGAACAUGUUUACCAAGGUAGUUCCCGGCACCGUUUAAGUCGACUUCCUAAAGUAGGGUGGUGAUUCUAGCCCUAAUCCCAUUAUUUCAUGCCCUUUGCCAAUGGUCGGCAUUGCCUGACUUUCAGGAAAGAAUGCACUAGUUGGUAAGAUUCUAGAAGCACAAGGCAGAUUAGUCAAUUGCUUAUAUAGCGUUCGUUGUCUGCCUGACUAACUUCUCCCCUCGUGCCAGAAGUAAGGACAGCUCCCACGGACACUUAAGGUGCGAUGCAUAAAUUUGAAAUUUGGGAAAUUAGCAAAUGAAGCCACAGGUGUUUUAGUUUUGUUUUGUAUAUUUUUUUUGUUAUAAAAGUUUUGUGUAUUUUAAAGAAUAGCCGAAGUACCAUCUAUAUAGAAGACAUUCUAUAGAUGUUUCUUUCUUUACCUGGUGAAUGAAAAGGCGCCUAACUAAUGCCAAGGGGGGAGGGGGUGGAGGAGGAAGGGGGAAGGAAAGCAGGAGCAGAGGGAAGAGAAGUAGCAGGAGACUAACAAUUGUGACAGUUCUCAGAAGGAGUAAUUAAGGUGACGAUGUUGCCCAUUGGUGUGAGUACUGAAAAGCUAGGUGGGCUACCCUAAAGGCACAUAUUUCCCCAUAUAACCUUGCUUAUCUCACAAAUCUUAAUGAUCCCUCACAAAGGAGACUCACUAGGUAGGCGGGCAAGGCUGCCAGUCACAAAAGCGAAUGGGCAAAUAUCUACUGCCUAGUGACCUGAAAGCAAUUCUUCAAGUCUAUUCUAGUAGAAGGAAUUUCUUUCUCUUGGAGCGACUUGUAGUUGAAAAGCGAAGGGCGUGGCCAAGAGAAUGGAGACUGGAGAGAGAAAAACGUCCUUUCUUAGACCCUUCCCAGCACACAUGGUCUUGAAGUUUGCUCAUGUUUAAGACAUCAAAUAGAGAUGCUUGCAUUAAAACGUCUUUAAAAGUCCUUUUGACUUUCGGAAAUUGAGGUGUGUGGGUAGAAUGGGGAAGCCAAAGGUGAGAGGGCGUGAGUAGUCUGUGGCUGAGGCUCAGUGGUCAAACACUUUACCUGGCAUGACUAAGACUAGGGGUUAUGAACCCCAGCACCAGAAAAAAAAAAGGAAUCAACUAAAGUAGCACGUAUCAAAGAUCCUGCAGGCUCAGGCCCUGUCUGAUACUAUACUCUAGCUGUCUAGACCAACACUAAAGGGAAUACAUGAUGAAUAAGUGAUUUUAGCUUUUGAUAGUCAUAUUGGAAACUUGGGGGAAAAACUACAGAUGAAAUUUUUAAUAUUUUCAAAUUUAAUCCAAUGAUUGCAAAUAUCAUCUAAGCAUGUGAUAGAUAUAAAAAGAGUUAAUUUGCACUCUUUCAUAGCAUACUCCCUCUCUUUAAACUCUCUGCUUUUGUAUCCAUUGAUCUAGCAUCAUUUACAGCACAGCCACAAGUAGCUUGUGGCUACUACAUUACCGGGGAGGUGGAGAUGACCUGUUAUACCUCACUGCACACCUUCCUAACGAACGGAUGCCUCAAGAACUGAUUUUUCACAACGAUGAUCAUUGUCUGAGACUUGAGCUUGUAGCGCUGGUAGACUUUUUAAACAGGAAGGGAAGCGUCUACCGGUUUCCAGGCAGGUAGAUGCACGGCAUCUAGUUUUGAACCUGUAGGGGGAGCUCUCUCCCCUCUGCGCUUUAAUUUCAGUUCCAACCUUGGUUCUCAGAGCCCUGCGGUUCUGAGUUCUUUCACCUGGGUCUGUGGAGAGUUUGUGUUUGGCUCCAAACCAGCAGUAUUUUCACCAUCUCCACACUUUAACGGCGGCUAAAAUGCUAGGACACCAGCCGGGUGGCGGCUUGAGUCUUGUGAUUCCCAGGCAGUCCAGGGAAAUGAUAAACAAAGUCUUUUGUGCAAUAUUAAUAAGCUUUAAGCACUCCCCAGUGAGCCUCUUGUCAUCCAAGUAAGUCAUGUGUAUCAAAAGCCCUUAUACGUGGAAGUUUGUUUUCAUAUCUGGCCCACGAUGAAUGGGAGCCCCCUUUGCCAUGUUGUAAAACAAACAUUUGUUUAUUUUCUGAGCAGAGCUGGCAGUGUGCUACAGGAACCGGAGCUGAAUGGAGAGCCCUUUCCAAGGAGGCGCCUUUGAAAACAGUCUGCCACAGCUUUCCAACUGUCAACUGAUCUUGAACUGGGUUUACAUUAAGACAAUAACAGUGUUUCCUAGAUAAAUAAGUUAGAGACACCCGUGGGCCUUAAUGAAACCCAUAAAAGGCUUGUGGGGGUGGGCGAAAAGGGGUUUUUGUGCUGCACAGGGAAAUAAUGUCUAUUUCAUCUUACCAUGUAUGGGAAGCUUGUGUUUUUGAGACAGAAGGGGUCCUUUAUGGUAAUUACACUGGUUAAAAACACACACACACACACACACACACACACACACACACACACACACACACAAACCAACAAGGAAAACAAAAAACUGCCCCUGAUAGAGCUUUCUUUAGACUUCUGGGACAAAAAAAAAAAAAAAAAAAAAAGUGACACUUCCCUUGGGUGAAUGCCACAGUGCCAAGCAGGCGUUUUCCAAAGUAGAGAAGUGUGGUCACCCUCCCAGUUGAUAAUGUAACCCCCUCUGGCAUGUAAAAGAAAAUUAAUGAAAACUGUAAGGUGAACCAUCUGCUACAGGGAUCUGGCUUUUUUCUCGGUUGGCUUCGGGCUUCCGGGAAUCCAUUUCACUCCAACAAGUUUUCAAGCACAAUGGCCUUGAAGGCGGAGGGUGGAAACUAGGAUGCUUCACUGAUCCGGGAGCUUGGGUUUCCGUGGGUUUUCCUGGAAGGUGGGAAUUUCGACCUGUUACUGGAAGCUGCAUUUCUGAGUAAAGGACACAUUCUAGGGAAAGACUACAGGCUGAAGAGCUGAAACACCGAUUGCACGUAAAUGAAAACAAACGUGUAAACACUGCUGCACAUCACAGAAAGCCUGCAAAACAGAGAUGCCCUCAUACAAGCAUCUUCAGUUGUACAGAGUCAUUAUUCGUGACUUUCCACAGAAACACAGGCUCGACUGUAAUAUAUGUAUAAAUGACUUUGGUUAUAGCAUAUGCAUAACUUUAUAACUUACUUUUGGGAGGCUUGUAUUUUUCCAUGUGUAUUUUCUUCAAAUUACCACAUAGUAUUUAUAACCAUCAUUUUCUAUUAUAGCUAUAUAUAACUAUAUAAUAUAUUACUAUUAUUGCUGUAAUGCUAUAAUAAUAUAACUAACAUUCUAACAUCAUUUCCAUGGCUAUACAAAUUUUCCAAGUAGAUGUACCGUAAUUUGUACCUCAGUCUUUUUCUUUUUUUUUUCUUUUUUUUUUUUUGGUUCUUUUUUUCGGAGCUGGGGACCGAACCCAGGGCCUUGUGCUUCUUAGGCAAGCGCUCUACCACUGAGCUAAAUCCCCAACCCCCCUCAGUCUUUUUCUUUCUGGCAACAUGGGAUGCUUAUGAUUUUUUUUUUCACAGCACAAUUUCUUUCUUGGAAAAAAUAUUAAUUGGGAUAACCACAACGUUAUGAAUACUUAGGAUUUUUUUUUUUUAACACACAGUAUCAUAUGGUUUCCAAGAAGGACUUGAAAAUAAACUGCUUUUCUGAGUGUAACCUCUCCCUACAGUGUAGUCUUAACUUUCACUUCCUCUUUGUCUCUUCUGUUUGUCUAGAACAAUCCCACUAUUCAUAGGACCCUCCUAAAACACCUUCAUAUAAACAUUUCUUCUAUGCAUAAAAGUGGUUCUGGGAUGUUGUCUCUCAGAGACCUUAGAGGAGCAUACCAAACGAUUUUUAUUAUUACAGAUGAGACUGUUUCAAUCUGUAGCCUGCUGCUAAUUGCUACGGUUACAUCUCAUAUAAGAUGUACUCACUUUUGGACUAAUAUUCAGUUUAUAUUCAUUUCCACACCUUCCAAUCAUUUGUGUCAAGGCAGUAGACACCAUUUCAGAAAUCUGGCUAGUCCAACAGAUGGCCCCAGCUUAUGAAUUAACCCCUGUGCUUAGUCACGUGACUCACCCCCACCCCAUCUAGAGGGACCAAGAUUGAGUUGUAUGUUGGAGGAGUGAGAAGACGCAAGAAGAAAGAGAAGGCAAUGCCUCCAACACAGAAAAGCAAAAUGGAGAUGGGAGAAAAAUUGUCUCCCACACUCAUAAGGAUUUUCUUCGCUUCCAGUGGUUCAGCCAUUUCUUAUCUGUCUAGUUACUUGUUCUUCAGUGUCUCCCUCUUUAUAGCUUUACAUAUUCUGGUAUAUGCUGGGAUACCGAUGCUUCAGAAACUCUGUGUCCAAUGGAUUGACAUCCUUCCCCCACUCCCUCUCUUUCUGUGUUGGUUUCUUUCUCUCCCUGUCUCUGUCUCUGUCUCUGUCUCUUUGUCUCUCUCUCUGUGUGUGUGUGUGUGUGUGUGUGUGUGCUUGUGUGUGUGUAUGUGUGUGUGUAUGUGUGCAUGUAUGUGUGUGUAAGAGAGAGAGAAGAGGGGUGGGGGUGGGAAUGAGUAUCUCUUCAUGACCGCGAUUACACAAUAAGGAGCAUUGGACACAGCUAUCAAAUCAUUUUAAAUGGGCCUGUUUGCUGUCUAGCUGGAGUUUAUCUGUGGAUUGACAUAUUUUCUAGCAUAUGUGACCUCAGGCAGUCACUCUUCUUUUUUUUUUUCUUCCUUGCCAGUGUUUGUCCAUUCAUUUAAUUAAACUGUGUCAACUGCCCAGAAAAUGUCUGUACCCAAGCUGGACAUGCUGAUCACAGUUCAGAGCAGACACACUGCUGCUCAAUGGAUCCUUGAUCUGAUGUCAUAGGCAGCAUGCCCAGUCGAUGUGGGCCAGCGAACCAAGUGGCCAGCAGGCUAAAUAUACAAAGCUUGACUUUAGGCAAUGUGUGGUAUCAUCAGUGGGAUGAAGGCCGGCCCUGUGAGGCAUUUCCUAUGCAAUGUGGCCUCUACGGAAAGGACCAAGUAUGUCCAAGUGCUGUCCUCAAGAAGAACAUGAUUGGUUGGCUUGUGCUCUCUGGAUGGCCAAAGGGUCCAAUGCAUGGUUAGACGCUGGACAGGUGACUUAUCCUGGUAAUGCCUCUCAGCUGAUGUUACAUCAAACAUAGUCUGGUAUGACACCGUGGACCUUCCAAGUGAUUUACCUGCUUAUUUAGUAAAUUAUCUGCUCUCAGGUAUGUUAAUUGGGGAUUGCCACAAUUGCUGUCAAUACAGCAAAUUGUAUCUGUCUGUCUGUCUGUAUCUAUCUAUCUAUCUGUCUGUAUGUCUGUCUCUGUCUAACAUACUAUCUAUCUGACAUAUAUAUUUAGUAUAUAUUUAUUAAUUAUCUUUGUAUAUCAUAUUGUUUAGUUUCUGAAAUGAGCUCCCAUUAGAACCUGAAUCUAGUAUCUGGGCUUAAGAUAAUAAUAUAUAUUACUUAUAUUGUAUUAUAUAUAAUACAUUAUAGGUAAUAUAUAGUAAAUAGAUAUAGAUAGAUAUAUGUAUUGUGUAUAUGUGCAACGAUAAUGAAGAAGACUACGUGAAUUUGAAUGGCAGUGGAAGACACAGGGGAGUUAGAGGGAGAGGGGCAAAUAAAUAAUGUAAAAGUAUAUCAGUAGGAAAUCCUAAAAUACAAUUUAAAAGAAGAAUAAAGCAAAACAAAACAAGUCUACAAUGAGCCCAGUGAUGAUGUUCAGUCUGGAGAGAUCUAGUUUCAAAUGGUUUGUGGGUGAAAGCUUGCUGAGAGCUGAAUGUUUGCACCUAUGACGCUUGGUCUCCAUUGUCAACUUGAUUGGAAUCACCUAGGAGAUACAUCUUUGUGAGCAUGUGUAAGGUUUAACUGAACAGGAAAGUUCCACCAGGAACGUAAGUGGCAUCAUCCCUUGCACGGAGCCAUAUUGGAUUUGGGCCUAGCCGCUUUUUGACUGCAUGGUUCAAAGUGACUCUGGGCUGUUUGGCCACAGAGACUCACCCCGAAGAUGACUGCCAUAAAUCUUAAGAUUGUUGGAUAAAGCCUCUCCCAUGAAUUUACGGCACAGGAGUAUAACAUUCAAGGGAUGCCUCAGCUCGAGCAGAUACCAGUUAUCUCCUCAGUCAACACCCAGUGUCUCCACCACCUGACCUCAUCGCCUGACUUCUUUGCCUCCAGCUAUCACUGCCUAUACCCUCAUCUCCCCCUCCUUCAUAUUUCACAAAGGUCACUCCCCCUACCUGAAAGCCUUAAAAGCUGCAAUGUUCAUCCCAAUAAACGAGACCUUGACAACAGAACUUUUGCUUGGUCUCCUUCUUCUCUUCACCCCCAUUUUGGCCCACAGGUAGAAAGCCUCUUCGGGACCCUGAACAACUGGGUCCCCGCUGGCGGGGACAAUCCCUUGGCCUGGAUUGAAUCAAAAAGAAUGAAGAACAUGAUAUGAGCAGAGCUAGCCUUUGCUGUCUGCUUUCUGAUUGAGGGCCCAGCAUAACCAGCUCCUCAGAGGCACACUGCUUGCCCUUCCUGUCACAAUGAACUCUCACAAUGGACCUUCUUAAGCAAUGAGACAAGAGAAUCUUUUUCUCAAGUUCCUUUUGCCCAGUGUUGUGUCAUGGAAAUAAAGGUCAGUAUGUAGUGCCCUACCCUGAGUCACACAUUGAAAUCAUAACUCCAAGGAGAAGUAUUAGGAAGUAAUUAAGUUGUAAGGUAGGAGUUUGCAUGGAUGGGAUUUCUGCUUUUAUUGAAUAUACCCCAGAGAAGACAUCCCUUUUGUCACUGGAGGACACGGGAAAUGAGUCCCCAUCAGAAUCUGAUUCUGGUGGCAUCUGGAGUUAAGAGAAAUAAAUUCCCAUUCUUUAGAACAAUUUUGUUACUACUGCUCUAACAGAUUAAGGCAGGAUGGCAGGAAACAGUCCUUGUUGUCUUCUGGGAGAAAAGUGCAGAUAACUCUGUGAAUCCUUCCAAGUCCAAUUUCACUCAUUAACGGGGAAGAAAAGGAAGAUGAGCAUUGUUGUUCAUGGCCAGCUAUUGCCCAUGUGACAUGUCCUACUGAAAAGCCACAGCUGUUUUGUUUGCUCAGGUCCCCUGGCACUGGGAUCAAGCAUUACCUGUCAUUUGAAAACUUCGGAAUGUUCUUGGUCAUCCUCAUGUGGUAACGGUUACUUCUACCACUAGCAGACCCUUGGAGACCUUCAGGAGUUGCAUUGUCUUUGCCUGGACACACUCUCGCAACCAUUUGCAGAACUUAGGCUCAAGCCUAUUCCAUCUCUAGCUCGAGGCAAUUCAGUGGCCGGGUAAAGGGGCUCCAGAAUUAAUAUUUAUUUCAACAUCACAGAGGCUUACAGUCUGUACAACCAGUAUAUGGAAAAGGAUGGUGCCUGCAAAUUCAUCUUUCUUCAUUCUGAAAUUUCUUAUAAGGAUACAAAGAGAUACAUUAUACUAGGGUUACCGAGAGAGACAGGGGUACCUCUGCCCAGACUCCAGCUUCUCCUGCCCCCUGUUCUCUACUCUUUUCUGUUGUUGAGUAUUGGAGGUUGACAAUCUCUGAUUAGUUACAAAUAGUUUUCAAUUUACUAAAGUGCACUGGCUCUCUUGGCCUCUCUUUGAAAUGCUUUUAAAGCAACAUGGCGAAUGGAAUUCAACAAUUUCCCACAGCUGCAGUAAGAAUAUAGAGACGUGGGAGCAGCUGUUUUCAUAUUUUAUACUCACUAUUUCCUUGGAUCCCUUUUAGGAAGAAUCUAGAAGGUCCUGUGAUAUCCAUAUUACUAUGUUUGUGUCAGCCCCUUGGAUUCCAGGCUUUUAUCCAAAUUUGGCAAAUAUUUGUCUUUACUUACAUGCUGUCUUAGACUUCCGUUCACAUGGUCUCACGCCCCGUGCCAUGUGCCCGUAAGUAGAAGCCCCUGUCCCAUGACAGCUUUCUGUAGUGAAGGGACACCUCUCUGGAGCUGACAUCACAUGGAACUUUUUUUUAAAAAAAUGCUUUUAUUGCAUUUGUUUAUUUAAUGUAUGGUGGGAAGUACAUGCCAUGGUGUGCAUAUGGAGGUCAGAAGAUAAUUUGUGGGGGACUGUUCUCUCCUCCUAUGUGUGUUGCAGUGACGGAGUUUGGAUUGCCAGGCUAGUGGUUUGCUGCAGUCUGAAUGAGCAUGGUGGUUUCCACAGAGAGCUUUUACCAGCUCCAUAGUGUCAUCUCAAUGUGUUUUUCCUUCUGAUGGAAAAUGGCAGUCUGUACAAUAAAGAGGUUUCACAGAAGAUCUUGGAAAGUCCCCUCUUAAUGGAGUUGGCAAAAUCAGGGUCCUACUAGACUGAUUCCAGAGGACAGUCUAGUGUGCAGGGUGAGUAACUUUCAUUGAGACUUCUAUGGAUGAUAAAGAACUGUAUUUGUAAAACAAGUCAAGAAAUCACCUGCCCUGAAUCUCCACAUUACUCUUUCCUCUUCAUGUAGACAUUAGUGAUAUGUUAUAAAAAGAAGCAAAGGCCCCAAGAGGAGGAAUAGACAAUGCUAUUUGUUGUUUCAACAGGGGACCUCACUGAGGAGUUUCGAGCUUGUAAAGUAGUUCAAAGGCAAUCCCCAACGCUACCCCAAGAGAGUCCCCUUCUCUCUCUCUCUCUCUCUCUCUCUCUCUCUCUCUCUCUCUCUCUCUCUCUCUCUCUCUCUCUUUCCCCUUUCCCCUUUCUUUAUUCCCUAUCUCCUCUCUCCCUAAUUUUAAAAACUGAUUUGACCAAAUGAAAAUUAGCAUAUAUCCAUCACAGAAAAGGAAGGAUUUCAUUAAGCAUUUUCAUUCAACUAGAACAUACACUUACACCAAAUCCAUCCUUCAUUAUCCUGUCUUGUCCCGUCUCCCUCUGACUGCCUUUUCCCAAGCAACUCCACUGUACUGCCUCUAAUAAAUAUAUAUGCAUAAGAUGUAGAUUCCACAUGCCAUAGAAAAGUUAUUUGUCUUUUCAACUCUGGAUGAUUUGGCUUAAUAUUUGUGGUGGUCAGUGUUAAUUAUCAGUUUAACAGAUUCUACAGUUCCAGCAGAUGGUCUUCCCAGCCUCCCCAUGGGAGCUGAGCAGCACAAUGCACCCACCCAGUCUCUCUUCUGAUUGUGGAUCUGAUACGACAAGCUACUUCAAGCUGCUGCCUCUAUUGCCCUGGUUUUAUGGACAAUAUCUUGAACUGUGAGCUAAAAUAAACACUCUCUCCCUUAAGUGGCUUUUGUCAGAAUAGCAAGUCACAGCAAAAGGAGCUAAGACAGAAUUAUGAUCUCUAGUCCUGAGCAUUUUCCUAAGAAAUCUUUAGAAAACUCUCAGGUGUGGACACAGAUACUGUACCACAGAACACAUAGAGCUAUAAGGACAGCAGGGGUUGGACAUUUCAUCCAAGAGAGUCAGUGAGUGGCAUGCCCCUGGUAAGCCUGUUCCUGGAGUAAGUGUCACAUCAAACUUGCUUAUUUCCUUUGCUGCAAUAAUCAAAGUCUCCAUAACACCAAUCAAAACUCCAAAGUCACUUCUGAGACUCAAGACAAACACUUAGGUGCAAGCACACCCCUGUAAAGAGUUUCAUGACUCUACAAUGGCACAGAAUAAUACCUCCUUCCUUUUGGAAAAUAGCUGUUUGCUCUGAAUUAAAUCAUCCCCUCUUAGAAGGAAUCUUUGAAGGCACUAGGUCUUUGCCCAAAGUUAGAAAAGCAGUACAGUUACCAAGGAGAAAAGACUUUUGACCUGACAGCCUACAAGUUCUCCAGGAAGCAUUUAAAGCCAUAGCCAGACUGGGGUAGACCUUUUGGGAGUUCCAGUCACCUUUUGGUCAUCUACACUUCUACAUGUAAGCCUCCUCCCAUACUGUUGUAACACAGUACUCGUUAGCUCACCAAGCUAGGUGUGUGAUGGGAUUGUUUCUUUGUUUUGUCUUUGGUUCCCUGUCUGGGAUAACCAGACAUUUCUUCACAUCUCUCCAGGUCAUUCCAGAAAGAAUGAGAAACUAACCAUGGAAAAUUGGAGCAAAGUAGAGCUGGAAUCCAGAAGGCCCAACACUGAAUUGUCUAGCUUCAUGCCUACCACUCAUGGCUUCUGGUGGUGCCAUUUGGGUCCCAAUAGCCUUACAUAGCCUCACCUUACAUUCUCAUACUUAAAGACACAAUGAGCCUCGUCACCACUAUGGUUCUCAUACAAUGGCUUUUUCUUGGACCAGUUCCACAUAGUACCUGGCACAUUCCUCAGUUGAUAUCACAAAGUCCUGAUGACUUCUGAGAUCCUGGGAUUGCCUUUAAAUGUGGGCUUCACCAUCACAGAUUCACAGAAUGCCCUCUCAGAGGCUCUGUGCAGUGCCUUCUUGUUCCACAUGACCUGGUUUUGAGGGAUAUAGGCCAGUUCUGCUUCUAGUCCAUUUCUCAGUUUGAUGAUCUGCCAAGAUGUAACAAGGCAUGUUGUAAUGAUCCCUGCCACAGACUGAACCCAGCCACCAUGUCGUCUUGGCCAUUAUAGGCCUAUCUCUGUAAACCUUGAGUAAAAAUUAUUAUCUCAUCUUUUAAAUUGCCUCUGUCAGGUGUUUGACCACAGUGAUAAAAAAUUAAAGCCACCAAAAGAGAACACUGGUAACAAGAGUGGAGCUAUGUGGUUCCUAUAGGCCUUUGGAAAUGGCUUGCAGGAGGAACGUGGGAGGAAUCUUCAGAGGCACUGGAGUUCUAUCAGAAGAAUUUAAUGGGGCAUUGUAGUUUGGAGCUCAGAAUGCCAAUGGGAAUGUGGAUAGUGAAGACCUGACACUUAAAGUUUCAACGUAGAGUGGAGUAAAUGCAUUUUGCAUCGUGAGGCAACUAUGAGCCAAUGGGGGUCACCGGCACUAUGCUAGCAUUUGUAUGUGAGAUUUCCCCCGAUGUCUCAUGUGUUUGGGUACACUGUCUGCAGUUGCUGACACAGUUUGGGGAGCUUGGGGUAUGUUUUGGGCAUGGUGUCUAGUUGGAACACAUCUACUUGGUUAAUGAUGUCUCAUGACAUGAGAUCAAGCCAUCUGGUUAUCCCAUGUACUGUUUCAUUCUUGAUGAUUGCAGAGUGCCUAACAUGUGGUCAGGCUUUAGUAAGUGUGUUUAUUGAGUACACAAUGCUUCUAUCUCCACAGUUUGUUUAGGGUUUUCAUUGAGGAGGUUGCUGUAUGGAACAUUCCUUGUUGUUCAUCAAGGACUUAGGGAACAGAGUAGAGGCCUGCCUUUCUAAGGUGACUGAACUUCCCUCGGAGCCAUAAUGGGUGUCCUUUUGCAAACUUUGAAAUCCAGACUUAUGCUAAAAGCAUUUUAAACCUAUGUUACUAAAAAUUCACAUAGCUUUUUUAUUGAUCAAUUGAUUAAAAUCUAAUGGGCCCAUAAGAAAGUUGGGACAAAAGCCAUGAGCAAAGUAUGAUUUCAGGGCUGGACUGAUGGCGUAGCCUUUGAAAGCUAAGGGCCACAAGCAGAAGGAAUGCUUUCAGGUAGGAAGAGCUCUGCCCUGUGAAUACUUAUUUUAUAUUUUGCUGUUUAUUUUGUUGCUAGGUUUUAUUAGGGUAGUGGUGUCUUCUCAAUAGGCUACUGUUUGUAAGACGAUGAGCGCUGACUUUCGCAGCUCCAAAUGCAGGAGGUUUAAGUGAAAGACAGGGAUAGGGUUUAUUAAAAUGGUUUGCCUCCUGAUGUAGAGGUGAACCUGGGGUGAAUCAGAGUGAGUGCAGGGAGAUAUUUUGUUGAUACCAAUGCCAUUUAUCCCUACAGAUUUUUAAAGGUCUGAGGAUAAAGUGUCUCCUAUGUGUGGGAUGAUGUCAUUACGCAGGUGAAGGUACAAGAUAGAACAAGACCUGUUAUUGGAUGAGAAGGAAGGAUGGGUGGGAGAAAAGUUUGAGGGAAGAGGAGGAGACUGGAACAGAGAGAAACUGGAGGAAGAAGCAGCCGAGAGAUCAUGGAGGCAGAUGUUAAGAUUCCACUCUGUACCCUUUACAGGUUGCUAUGAAUGUCCUUAAAGGAUGGAUGUGUACAGAGCUUUGUAUGUUUAGGUGGACAAUUAUAUCUUAUCAAAUUGGAUCAGAGGUUAUUGUGUUGUGCCUUCUUCCAUGUAGCAAUUUGAGUUUAAGAGAGUGUGUGGCGGCAGAGACACUGGGCUGCCAUGAUGCAGGGCCUAGUGGGGCUAAAAGACAGUUUUAUUUUAUAUAAUUUUACAACAACACCUAUAUAGAAUGAAAUGGACAAACAGGAAACACAUAGACGGCCAGAGACAGGAAUCCAGGAGGUCUGGGCUGAUUCUACAGGAGCUGAAUGCUUUUCAGAUACCAUUAUGUCCUUGGAAUUGUCACAGAGACAGACAACUGGAAUUCAAUGCAACUAUUUUACACAGAAGGAGACUGAGGUGUGGAGGUGCCCUUAGGUCAGCUAAAAGUUCCUCAAAGAUGGGGAAGGAGCAAGGCUUUAUAUUGCUUGACCAAGUGCUUUAGUUCAAAGUCCCAUGCCUCACAUUUCUACCUAGUGAAUGCAGAAAAAAAAGCCUGCAAUAGAAGGCACUUGAAGAAGGGGCUUCAUAGGCUGCCCGAGGCCAGCUUCCUUCCAGCACAGAGCUUUGUGUAGUACCUGCAUGUGUGUGGAGUUCUACCAGAACUCUCCGUGUGUUUGCUCACAGUUGGUAGAACCCAAGGGGUGGGAAUACUGAGUCCCUGUGAUGGGAAUAAUUGGAAUGUGCCCCGAGAGUAAAUCCUCCUCCUCAAGGUCAUGAGGAGGACUCUCAUUUGAUUUGUGUGCUCAAGGAACCUUGGCCCUCUCUGUAUACCAUGACCUUCCUGAAUACCUAUCUUGACAACUGCAUAGAUCUGAUACUCCUGGAGUCAUUCCUAAACAGAGAUGAUGGGUGAUGGCUUGUUAUCUACUUAUCUUUCUGGAGAAACCAGUAAGAGACAGUGUGAACAUAUCAAAGUGAAUAGAAGGAGGUGUCCUAAAGCACAGAGAGGGAAGAGCUUGUCUUCCUGAUGUCUUGUGAUCCUUGCUUUCUCUACCAUGGUCUGACAUGCUUGGGGAGGGCAUGAUGGGGGAAGGCUGGUGCUUUUCACAACCUGGUUGUGUGCAGCAUCCACAGCUCAAAAUAAGCAACUGACACCUACCAUUGCUCAGCCACAAUGCAGCCAAGUACCUAGAAAAUUCUGUUCCCUCAAAAGAAUUCUCUCAUUUAUCUGCUUUUCAUUCAUAUGCUGAGGAAGGAGGCUACACGCUACUUCUUGCAGUGGGUGUCAGAAAUAAAAGCAUUCCAGAAUUUUGCUGCUGUGUCUCCAGAGGGAUGGGUGCCACAGAAGAACUCAAGGAGCAUAAGCCAGUGACUUUUCCAUGAAAUAAUUUUGUGGUUUUUUUUUCUUUAAUUUACUGUACCAGAAUAUCACAAGAACAUGUUCGGGUUUUCCAAAUAAAAUCUCAAAUUCUCCUGUGGACGCCUCUUGCAUUUUCAGUCCAUUGGGCAGGGGUAAAAUUUUGUUUCAUAUUCUAUAGGAAGUUUAAGAUACAGUGUACAAGCGAGGUGCAGUGGGCCACACUCUCACCAACCUAAAAUAUUGCCAGGGUUUUUAUUGAGGGAGAGGAUAGAGAUAUUUUAUGGUGGUUUUAAUUUGCACAUCUCUACUGACUCAUGACAUUAAACAUCUCCUGGCAAUGCUCACUGACCUCUUGCCCAGUUCUUGCUUCAAAUGUUUUAUUCUCUUAGAGAAAUAAAGUUGAGGGGGGUUGGCGCAAUGGUUCAGCGGUCAGGAACACUGGCUGCUUUUCCAGAGGACCCAAGUUCAAUUUGCAGCACCCACUCGGUAGUGGGAUCUGAUGCCCUCUUCUGUUUGAUGCUUUCUUCUGUCAUGCGGUAGUCAUACAUGUAAAUAGAGUGCUGGUAUACAUAAAUGAAUCUUUAAAAGAAAAAUAAAGUUGUAAAUAGAGUUGCUGUCUUCUUAUUGAAUUGUUCUAAGAUGUCUAGAGAAAAGUCUUUCAUGAGAUGCUUAUUUUAAAAGAUUUACCCUUCUAUUUGUGUUUUUUUCCUAAACAAAAUAUGUCGAAGGUCAGAUAUUUCAAUUUGAUGUACUUUAAUUUAUUGCAAUUUAUAUUAUGCUUUGUGUUGUAUGUGUCUUAGUUUUUAAACCUUUGCUUAAGUCAAGGUCACUUUUUUUUUCUUACUGCCCCGGGGAACUUUUAUAGCUUUACUGAGUUUUUGUAUGGGCAAGCAGGUGCAUACCUUAAUUUUUCUAAACAAAUAUCCAGCUUUUCUGAUACCAAUUGUUGAAAAGAAGUAUACAUCUCUCCACAUAUAAAGACAAUAUCUUUGUGUCUUAGUUACUUUUCUAUUCCUUUGAUAAGACACCAUGACCAAGGAAACUUAUAGAAGUUUCAGAGAACUAGGGUUCUUGAGAGUGGAGCGGAAGUAUCAGGUUUCAGAUGCAGCUGAGAGCUCACAGUUUGAAGCUCCUUCUCAGCAGGAGACAGAGAGCAUCUUGAAUACCAGAAGUCUUUUUGAAGCCUUUACAUCUCACCCCCAGUGGCACACCUCCUCCAGUAAAGGCACACCUCCUAAUAUUUCCUGAAUAGUUCCACUAACUGGAGACCAAGUAUUCAAACAUAUGGGAGCCAUUCUAAUUGAAAUCACAUGUUGAGUAGGUCUUAUUUUAGGCUCCAUUCAUGUAUAUGUUUAUCAUUAUGUGGUAGUCGGUCAUUAUAACACUACAGUGAAUUUCGAACCAUGUACCAAAUGCUUUCUAAAUGCUUUUUUUGAAUUCCUGAUCAUUUAUCAGCCUACUGGUUCCUAUAAGAAGACAGCUGUGGUUUUAAUUAGUAUUCCAUUAAUACGUAAAACAACACGGAAAAAAUGGCAUAUUGACACUUCAUAGUUUUUCAUCUGUGAACAUUGCCUAGACCUUUAAUUUCUUUUGGGAAUACCGUACAGGUUUUCAGAUGUAAGAAUCCUACUCCCAUCUUUGGAAAAAUCUGUAAAUACAUUAUAUAUCUGUAUGUACAUUAUGUAUUUAUCUAAUUGUAUCUAUAUCUACAUACAUGUACAUGUUCAUGAGUGCAAAUGUGUGCAUGUGCGCUAAAGGAUAAGAAUUAUAAGGUUUCUUCCUCAACUACUGCCCUUUCUUAUUUUUAUUUAAAGAAUUAUUAAAAUAGUUUAUUAAAAUUAGUUUUUUACAUCCUAAUCCUCUGAAAUUUUCAUCUUAAAUGAAAAAAGGGAGUGUUCAGAUCUAAUUGAGAGAAAUUUUGUAAAAUUAAAAUUUGAAUUAAAAAGUUUGCUUUUAAGCAAAUAGGUUUUCAUCUGAAGUUUAUUUCCAUUUGUAGUUGAAUUUGGUUACUUCUCCCCCCCUUCCCCUUGUCUCUCUGCUCUCCCCUCCCCUUGUCUCUCUGCUCUCCCCUCCCCACUGGACACCUCAUCUAUGGUAUUCCCCUUUUCCAUUUUAAUCUAUUUUUUUUAUCUGUUCCAUUUUUAAAAUUGUCUCUGUAGAUCUAAAUUUCAAUGAGAUACCAUUUUGUAUUCACUUUUUUGGUCACAUUUUGUGUAAUACAUGUCUUUUGACAAAGAAUAAUUUAAGCUUUUAUUAAAACAUUCUUGUCUUCAGAUUUGAAAGAUGAGGAUGCUUGGUAUUGAAGUCUAGGUUGACAGCUUUUUUUUUUUUUUUUUUUGUAGUGUUUUAAAGAUGUCAAUGAAGACAAUGGAGGUCUCCUAGCAUGCGUGUCUUCUGAGGGGUCUGUGAGAAUUCUCUUCUUUUUCCAUCUGUCUAUAAGUUCUUUGAACAUUUCACACAAUUUAUUUCGAUCAUAGUCACUUUCCCCAACUCUUCAUAGACAUUCUUAUCUGUCUCCCUAUGAAUCCAAAGUGUCCGUGGCUUUCUGUGUCUCUUCUGCUUGAGGAUUGUUUGUUCUCUGUCAUCCUGGUUCAUCUUCGUCAUAUGGAAAUUAUGAAUGCACUUCAAUAUUUUUUAUUGACUAUCUUCUACAAGAGAAAUAGACAGGGUUCUCUGAAGAGGUGGUGGACACAGUUUUCUGACUUUGAUCUCUACUUUGACACAUGGAAAUUUGUUAUGCCUGGUCCCAGAUUUUUCUAACUUUUUGCGUUAGCUCUGUGAUCUGCUCACAGGAAGUGGUCUAUCUGUAUGUGGCUUACAGAAUAGUGACCAAGGAUGUACUUCCGCUGCCCAGAGAUAGUUAUAUAUGGGUUAGGAUCAGUUCUCUUGGGUGUACAGGGGCUUUGGGAAAGUCUGUUUGCAAGUUUUGGAGGAAAACAACAAUUCUUAGGCCUGUCUAACUAUAGGUACAUCCUGGAAAAAUUCUUUUCAGAGGAAAACAUGGGCAGAGAAGUUCACUCUUUCUUCUGUUUCAUGUAUAUCAUACAAGAUUUAUGGAUUUAUAGUUUUCACAAAUUUGAACUCAUUUUUGUUCCUCUCCUCUUGCCUCAAUUCUUCAUUUUUUUCUUUUAGCUCCAAUCAAACAGAUAUGAAACUAGUUGCCAUUUUUCCCAAACUUACUGACCUCUGCUUUUCCUGCUUAAAGUUUUCAAUAUUUUUUUGGAAGUUAACUCAAGAUAGUUUUUGUUACUGUCUCUUCAAGUGAGUUAUUUCAUUUUGGAUAUAGACUCUUGUUCAGUGCAAUCUUUAUCAUCUGUGUAUCGGACUGUCAUCUGUCUGUCUACCUGUCUAAUCUUUAGAAGUUUGUUUUGAAAAAUAUUUUCCAUUUUUAAUCUCUUGUUUGUUUCCUUUUUUAUGAUUUAAUAAAUCAAAUGUGCGUGUGUGUGUCUGUGUAUACGUGUGUGUGCAUGCACACACAUGGCUGUUUGUGAGACAGUAUCUGUCCAUGAACUUGGGUCUCUUGGAUACCCUGGACACCAGCAAGAUUCAGUGAUUCUCUUGUCUCCCCCCUCCUUGAAAUAGGGGCUAUGACAUUUACAGGAGUGCUUGGCUCAUGCAUGAAUGCUGGAGUCUGCUUGACUCCUACAUGGAUGCUGGGGUCUCCUUGGCUCAUACAUGGAUACUGGGGUCUGAAUUCUGGUUCUCGUGCCUGGCAAGCAAGCAGUGUCAACUGCUGACCUUCCCCUAGAGUAUCAUUCUAACAACGAUAGAAAGUUUUGUUAUAUAUUUCUGCCUCUGAAGUGAGAGUGUUCUAAGUAUUGAGUUUAGCUUUUUAGCAUCCAUUGCUUGUGUUCACUAUAUUAAUUUGCUUGCAAAUAAAUCACUUUUUCCAUUUCUAGGCUUACUUUCAGGUUUUACUAUUUACUAUGUCCAGUAGUAAUCUCUUCGCUGUCCAAUCAACUUCACUAUUACCUUGACACCCCAGGAGGACUCUGUAUGAUACUUUUCUAUAUAUAACCCAUAUGGUCCUGUGUGAGCAAGGACAGUCUGCCCGAGCAUUCCUUUAUAAGGUUUCAUUCCUGCAUGUACAAGUUCUUUAUCAAAGCCUCCAGGGUCUUUGAAAUCAUCUGCGAAGUCCUACCUUUUUAUUCUGUAAGUUUUAGCCUCACUGGCCUUCUUAUCUUGAUCCACAUAAGUGGGUGGCCUUUCCACAUAGGUUCUUUAUAUUUGUGGAGAACCCGAGACUCUCCAGGCAGUGAUCUAAGGGGUUUUCAGAGACUGCCCAUUUGUUUCACUUCUGUCCAGGGUUGUUUACUGCACAGUAGAUAGGAUCACAUCGUAUGUUUGUCUGAUUAUUUGCACCUUUUCUAGACUUGGUAUUUCUCAUAGCAGUUAAUCUUUCAUUGGCAAACCUGAUGGUUAAAAAACAUUCAAUAAAGAAAGAAUGAUUGGUGCAUGUAUCCCAAUAGAGGAAAUGUAAGUUCAGUGCAAAUAAGUUGGCCAAAUGCUCCACUCUUGGCAUUUCUAUUUUCAUACCUGCAUCAUUCCUUUCUAGAAAUAGGUUCUAUUAUUCACUUAAUUAUUUUUUGCAAGCACAUACAUAUAAAUGCAUACACAUAUGGACACACACCUGCACACCCAUAGAACCAUACCAUAUACUUGUACUGAGAGUGAUAGACUUUGGAGCACCCAUUCCUACAUGUUAUGUCUUCAUUAAACAUCUCUUUUCAGGGCUCAGGGACCUUUGUGGAACAGGAGGCAUAAAGAUUGUAAGAAUCAGAGGUGAUGGAUGACCCCAAGGAAAACUUGUCUUAAAGAUACAACAGGACUGACACACACACAAAGUUACAGAGGAUGUGGCAACACGCACAGUGCCUUCACAUCAAGCCAGAGGCAGUCUCAGCACUGAGAAGGGGAAAUGGACUCAGUCUCCUAUUCCCAACCAAGAAGCAAUUUCCAAUGACAAUCAAUUGAAGGAAAAAUUUAGUUUCUUCAUUGGGGUUUCCCUGGGUACACAAACCUCACUUAAGGGCAGGCCCUAUGUGCAGCAGUAGAUGGCUAACACAGAAUGAGCUUAAUGGUAGCUUUGUUUCACAUUGUUUUGUGACAGGACUGGAGAGAUGGCUUAAUAGUGAAAAACACUGUCCACCCUCCCUGAAGACCUGGCUUCUUUCUGUCUAGCUUUCUGUCUUUCUUUCUUUCUUUCUUUCUUUCUUUCUUUCUUUCUUUCUUUCUUUCUGUCUUUCUUUCUUUCUUUCUGUCUUUCUGUCUGUCUGUCUGUCUGUCUGUCUUUCUUUCUUUCUUUCUUUCUUUCUUUCUUUCUUUCUUUCUUUCUUUCUUUCUUUCUUUCUGCCUGUCUGUCUCUCUCUCCUUCCUUCCUUCCUUCCUUCCUUUCCUUCCGUCCUCCUUCCCUUCCCUUCCCUUCCCUUCCCUUCCCUUCCCUUCCCUUUCUUUUCCAGUUUUGUGUUUUUCUGGGCUUUGUGUGUGUAUUGGCGUGUUUCUUGUGCUUUUUUACAGUCUUACUUUUAUUAUGCACCUGUUUUUUAAAGAAAGAAAAAGAAGGCCUGGAGUUGGAUGGAUGAAGAGUGCAAAAGGUCAGAAGAGUGUAUCAGUCCCUUGGAACUGGAGUUACAGACAGUUGUGAGCUGCCAGGUACAUGAUGUGAAUUGAACCCAGGUCUUCUGGAAGACGAGCCAUUGCUCUUUUCUGGUCAUCUGAGAGGAACAGCCAAGGUGGAAGAAAAGGUCUGGCAGGCUGCACUCUUCUGGCUUGGCAUUCAUAUUGGAAGGUGCCUUUGGAAGUCUUCAUCUCUAUCUCAUCAUGGCGGUUCCAAUCUUUCCGCUGGACUGGGGACACAAAGUCUGGAACACAAAGAGAUGUUGUAGAAGGUUGGGGUGCAUUCUUGAUACCUCAAAUCUCUCCAAAGCCUGCAGUUAACUGAACCACACACUACUGUACCUCCUGGAGUGUUUGUUGGGCUAAAUCUGCCUACCGUGGGUUCCCUGACAUGUGCUGGCAGAGUAACUAGAAGCCUUCAAAAUAUCAGCACGUGUUCGCUGAUUUUGUUCUUGUAAAAGGAGUUUGGGAAUCAGAGCGACGAUUUAGAGUUGUGGAAAGGGAGCAGACCAAUCAGUAAGUAAUAAAAACAAAUGACAGAGAGGUUGGUA